rnacentral:tRNA from 1 species
GCCCUGAUGGUUUAGUGGUUAAGAUUCGGUACUCUCACUGCUGCGGCUGGGGUUCGUUUCCCGGUCAGGGAU